UGAACCUGAGGCUAUGUGUAGUAACAAUGUUGAGGAGUUUGAGUCCAGAAAAUUGAAGGAGGAUGAGGUCAUGGCAGCUUUGAGAGAUGACGAGGUUGCUAUUAUUGGGAUAUGUGGUAUGGGUGGAGUUGGUAAGACAACACUGACUGAGAAAAUCAGACAAAUGGCGAAAAAAGAAAGGUUGUUUAAAGAUGUUGUCAUGGUAAUUGUCAGUCAACAAAUAGACUUUAAAAGAAUUCAGGAUGAGAUUGCAGGAGGA
rnacentral:misc_RNA from 1 species